UUCAUAUUCACGUCACGCCGCGCCGUGUAUACAUUAACGAAUGAACCCAUAUUGUUUUGAUGCGAACAUUUGAAUUAUAAAAUGUCUUUACGGUACUUACUGAUAUCAUUACCUGUUUUACCAGCUUAUCUGAUAUUCUUGAUGUGCUUAGUUAUUUACAAAUAUAUAAUAUUUGCAAUAUUAAAGAUGAAGUAUAAUAAAAACCUAAGUCCCAUUGAGAGCAUCGAUUCUUUUUUUACUUUGGGUGAGUUUCAAGAUAAUUUCUCUAAUAUUUUAAUUACUAUGGAAACUGAUAUAAAAGAAAAAAGUUUACAAGAAAGGAUAAUAAAACAUUUUGAAAGAACAAUUAUAAAAAAUACCAACCAUUUCAGAAAAAUUCAUAGCUCUGUACACAGCUAUAUGGGUUUCUCAUUUUUAUUAAGAGAAGAAAUUCAAGCAGCUGAUUUUGUGAAUAUUAUAGAUGUGAAUGAAGAUAGUUAUGAAUAUUUGAACCAUUUUAUAUAUGAAUAUUGUAUGAAACCACUACCUAAACAUAAUAAGUUACUUAUGGACGCGACUAUUCUAAAAUGUGGUAACAAUUGGAAAAUGAAGAAUAACUUUAGAAUAGAUCAAAUACCUGUACUGUUUAGAAUUCAUCAUAUUUUGGGGGACGGUUUAUCAAUAAUGAAUCUGUUUAUUCAACUAUUCGGUGAUGAUAAAUUAGUGAUAGAUGAAGUUAUUGGAGAAUUUCAUAAUAGGCAUAAAUACAACAAUUUCUGGAUGAGAUUAUUGGAAGACGUUUAUUCCUUUCUAAUAUUACCUGGUUUCAUGAUUUGUGAAGUAAUAAGACGAUGCAUGAAUAAUAGAGUGUUCAUUGGUAGCACCGGAUCUGGUAAACAAUAUUUUGCCAAGAAAGUUGGAGAUGAUACAAUGUCGUUACAGAAAAUUAAAGCUUUGAAAAAGAAAAUUGGGAACUGUCGAUUCACAGAAAUUUUAAUUGCAGCCAUUUCAGCUAGUUUAUGUGACUAUUUUAGAAAGGUGAGUUGGAAUUUUGUGUUAUCAAAAAUAUACUAUAUUUUAAAUAUAUCAAUUUUACGACAAAUUCGGUUCUAUGAAUUAUUUUGAGGGAGAAGAAAAAGAAAAAUAAAAGAUAUCUUAUAAACCCUUAUGUAGAUCUUAUCUCAAACUAUACAGAGUGAUAUAUAACUCCGUCUCAUAUGAUCUUUCAAAAGAUAGCCUCUGUAUAUUAUAUCGAAUUCGGAUUGCUAAUAUUUUUGGUUUGGUUACGUUAUACAAAGUCAUUUAAGAGUAAUUAAGUAACUGUCAAAGUUGUAUUCAUCAGCAAAAUCAUGAAAAUUGAAGUAUAUUGUCCAUUGUAUGAAUAUUAAUCAUGUGUCUGUGAAGAACCUUUCACUAUAGUCAAAGGUUUCAUCAACAUACGAGGUGUGGCUAUUAAGGAACGAGACUAGUACUGCUACAGAAAAAGUAAGCAUGCUCCCAAAGUUAACGACGUUCAGUUGUUUAGCCUGAAGUCUACUCUUUCGACUGUAAUGUCUACCGUGUCCGUAGACAAACCAAUGUAGCCGUUUCCAUUGUUUUCCGGAACGGAUGUGAAAUUUCACAUGUAAUUAAAAAAAAACUGCAACUGAAAGUUUAUGGCAUUGACACUUUGAAUGCGAUUAAAAAUGACUCAAACUUAUUAGAAAAGGUAAUAACGUGUAACGAGUCAAAUCUGAAUUCGGCGGCACGCGUCCUAAAGGAACUGUCAAAAAAAGACUUUCUUCACUGUUUCGAACAGAGGAAGAAUCGCAUGGAGCGAUAUAGGAAUGGAGGAGAUGCGAGGCAUAUUUUUUAAGUAAGUACCGUUUUGGAAUUAAAAAAAGAAGUGCAAAGAUAUCGCAAUAAUUUUAUUUUUACAUGAAAGCCUGUACCUUAAUCUACUUUUCUACGAUAGAAAGCUGCGAAAUCUACAUAGUACCAAGAUUUUCAUGGCCAUAUGGUCCCUUAGAUUAUGUGCUGUAAAUCUCCCCCAAAACUGAAUAUUUUUUAUGAGUAUUGUGCUAUUCACAGGUUAUAUUAAUAAU